rnacentral:rRNA from 1 species
AGAGUUUGAUCCUGGCUCAGGACGAACGCUGGCGGCGUGCCUAAUACAUGCAAGUCGAACGGUCCCUUCUAUGGAAGCUUGCUUCCACUGAGAAGAUAGUGGCGAACGGGUGAGUAACACGUGGGUAACCUGCCCAUAAGAGGGGGAUAACAUCCGGAAACGGGUGCUAAUACCGCAUAGUUUUCUUGAUCGCAUGAUUGAGAAAGGAAAGACGGCCUUUGUGCUGUCGCUUAUGGAUGGACCCGCGGCGUAUUAGUUAGUUGGUGAGGUAACGGCUCACCAAGACGAUGAUACGUAGCCGACCUGAGAGGGUGAUCGGCCACAUUGGGACUGAGACACGGCCCAAACUCCUACGGGAGGCAGCAGUAGGGAAUCUUCCGCAAUGGACGAAAGUCUGACGGAGCAACGCCGCGUGAGUGAAGAAGGUUUUCGGAUCGUAAAACUCUGUUGUCAGAGAAGAACAAGUUGGAGAGUAACUGCUCCAGCCUUGACGGUAUCUGACCAGAAAGCCACGGCUAACUACGUGCCAGCAGCCGCGGUAAUACGUAGGUGGCAAGCGUUGUCCGGAUUUAUUGGGCGUAAAGCGAGCGCAGGCGGUUCCUUAAGUCUGAUGUGAAAGCCCACGGCUCAACCGUGGAAGGUCAUUGGAAACUGGGGAACUUGAGUGCAGAAGAGGAGAGUGGAAUUCCAUGUGUAGCGGUGAAAUGCGUAGAUAUAUGGAGGAACACCAGUGGCGAAGGCGACUCUCUGGUCUGUAACUGACGCUGAGGCUCGAAAGCGUGGGGAGCAAACAGGAUUAGAUACCCUGGUAGUCC